CACUCCCUAAAGUGGCUUUCUGCAGUGACUUUGCCUAUUGAUCUGUUUACUGCCUUCCCUGGGGCCACGAGGGAGCCUGCCAGGGUGGGGCCCAUGGUUGUGUUCUUGCACUGCCAGGGCACAGCCUGCCCCGGGUGCUGGAGACCUUCCUGUGGUUCCCCAGCAGGUGGCCAGCGAGGCCUCAGCGGUGCCCAGGACCCACCCAUGUCCUCAGUGCAGUGAGACCUUCCCGACAGCAGCCACCCUGGAGGCCCACAAGAGGGGCCACACCGGGCCGAGGCCGUUCGCCUGCGCGCA
rnacentral:sRNA from 1 species